rnacentral:rRNA from 1 species
CUCAUCAGGGCAAGAAGAUUUUAGGAUUGACAGAUUGAGAGUUCUUUCUUGAUUGGUCUAGUGGUGGUGCAUGGCCGUUCUUAGUUGGUGGAGUGAUUUGUCUGGUUAAUUCCGUUAACGAACGAGACCUUAACCUGCUAACUAGUACUUGAUUUUCAAUCGGAGUUACUUCUUAGAGGGACUAUGUGAUGUAAUCACAUGGAAGUUUGAGGCAAUAACAGGUCUGUGAUGCCCUUAGAUGUCCUGAGCUGCACGCGCGCUACAAUGACACAUUCAACGAGUAUUUCCUGACCCGAAAGGGCUCGGGUAAUCUUUUAGUGUGUGUCGUGAUAGGGAUAGAUCUUUGUAAUUAUGGAUCUUGAACGAGGAAUUCCUAGUAAGCGCAUGUCAUCAGCAUGUGCUGAUUACGUCCCUGCAAAAAUGUACACACCGCCCG